CCUGGAGAGCAGGUACAGUCUGGUUGAGGACAGGGCAAACUUCCCCACAUUUCCCUGCCAGUGCAUCUCAACCCUGUUCUGGAGAGACCACCUCUAGGGG
rnacentral:sRNA from 1 species